UUGAUUAUAAGGUUAUUUAUUUAGCAAAAAGAUGAAACUGAAAGAAGUUAUGAAGCCCAAAAUCUAGUCAUUUGUAAACAACCUUGUUUUUUUUUUCUUUUGGGAUGCUAAAAUAAUUCUCAUUGAAUCUCACUUCUUACUCAGUAACUCAUUUCUAUGAAAAAGAUUUAAAAUAAUAAGUUCAAUCGAAAAUGCUUUGACCAGUUAUGAUAGUAAACUGACAUUCAUGGAAAGCUCUUCCAUUUUGUGCAUCUUCAAAAACUAUCUGAAGUGGGUUCAAGUAAUGCACCCAGGUAUGUAUGUGUCCAAGCAUGCUAAAGGAUCCACAGCAGCUCUUCUGUUGUGCCUCUUUCCUUUCUUCUCUCCCACUCUGUAGCAUCAUGUUUUACCUUGGUGAUUCCCCAGUGCCAAAUGAUGUGCUUUUGUGAAGCAAAGCUCUGCAGGUUCACAACCUGAGCCCAGGAGGAAUGGAGCUUGACUGGGCACUCCUAGUGUAAAACUUCCUGAAGAUCCAAAUAUAAAUUAUUUUGAAGUAACAAAGUUACUGAGGAUUCUCCUUUUCCAUUGAAAAAAAUGUCAAGUGACACUUCUGAUAUAUUGUCACUUGUAUCCUAAGUGAGAAAGGGCAAGUUAACAGCUGGAUACAAAGUUCAAUGAGAUAAACAAAAGUUUAUGCGCUAUUCAGAGCCAGUGGGAUGGAGCCCAUACCUGAAGGUCUGAAUCUGGGCUCCCUCAUUGCCACCUAAUUAUAGCACCUAUAUGCAGUACUUUGAAUCACGAUUUCAGAUCCUCCUCUUCUCCAAACAGAAGUAUGUGCUAUUGGAAAACUACUGACGGUAUAGUAUCCCUUCUUGAUAUGUCCCAAAUCAAUAAAUAACUAACUUCUAAUUGAAAUUAUAGGAAAAGAUUUGCUCUUCAACUGUCCACUGUCCAUACAAAAAGCAAAAUUGUAUUAAAUUAUUAAGCAAAACCAGAUCCUUUUAAAACCUCUGUUUAGUACUCUCAGUAUGAUGCAAAAACCUUAUUUCCCUUUAAUUGGUUUAUCUAUAAAAAUGAUAAUUUUCAGACAGUUGGCAGUAAAAUCCCUCAGGACUUCAGGAAGCAUAAUUCCCUUUUAAAAAUUCUCUACAUUUAUUAAUGAACUUGAAAAAUAACACUUAAAAUUGCUCUGUAGGUUUUCCCUCCUGUGCAUUGUACUCUCUACAGAGUUUCAUGGGGAACUUCAGGCAGUUCUUCCUAAUUUUUACCUUCAGGCUAUGUUUCCCAAGUGCUAACCUGGAUAACCACUGUUAAACCUGCCAGAUAAAUGUUUGUGAGACAAUGGAGAUUGCAGAUCACACAUAGUUCAUCACGGCUAAUAUAUGUGAUGGGAGUGAUAUGCUAAGGGAAAAAGAUGUGCUCACCUCAUCUUUCAUCACCAUGUUUCUCAAGUCCAUAUUUCUUGUUUUCCUAGUAAAAGUGAGCAGCACUAUUAAUUUCAGUCUUGAAAGCUUAGUUUAUAUUAAAGGAAACAUGCUCAGUCAGCAAUUAUGUACUAGGCCUGUCCUAGCAAGAACUGGGUGAUUCUCUUUGCAAACUCACAGAUCACCAAAUAUUGAUCUAGUACAAGAAAUAACAAAUUAAUUGUUGCACAUGCAGACUCAGCCUAAAAAGCAAAUUAGUCUGCUGAUAUGAAAACUAUUUUCUUAUAUAAACUUACUUUAAAUUUUUACUUUAAAGUUCUCCUAAAGGCUUAUAAUAAAUGACAGUCUAUCAUUUCAGUCUUUGCUUUCUCAUUCAAGACUGUAGCAGAGGCAUCAACUCUAACUGAAAUACUUAUCCUUUGAAAAGUGACCUAAGGCUUCACGUAGGUCCUUAAGCAGGAGUAAACUCAUGUCUUAUUUGUCUUCUAUAUACCCAGGCUUUUUUCAUUUGGUAGCCCAAAACCAGAAACUGUCAUAUAUAUAUUAAUUAUCUCUUACUGCGUCUUGAGAGAUACUGCAUGUACAGACAUUGACAUGGAGGCCUGCACCCUGAGUCUUGGGCAAAUGCCAUCAGGAAAUACUACCCACGAUCUAUUACAUAAAUUCUUAAUCCUCUUACUUUUGAGAAGAGUGUUGAUCACUAACAACGUGCUUAUUUUGUUUUCCAUAGAAAAGGCCAGAUUUAUAAUAUUGACCAGGAUGUAUUAGGAGGGUUUAACUGCUGACUGGGAGAAGAUUUGGGGCUGUGAAAACUAAGGUGCAGAUUUAGAAAUGCUAGCAAGUAGCAAGAGCAUAUAGGAGUCUGAGGCAGGAAUACGUUUUAAAAUCUGGCUUCACAGGGAAGAAAACACCAGUAUGAAAGGAAGAGUGUCUAUAGAGAUCUUGAAGUUGGACUGAUUUUUUUGGAACAUAAUUUUGCAACAGUGGUUUAAGCGAUGCAGUGGCAUCAUUACUAUAUGUUAUGUUCAGACAACAUGGUGUUUACAAUUUACAGUCCUCCUUUCCUUCCUGCCCUCAUGAGAAGAUACCUUAAAGCUGCAUACAGUCCAGUGAGUAAAAGAGAAAGAAACAGGAGGAAAAGGCACGGUACUCAUACAGUCAUCAGAAUGUGAGCCCUUUAUCUAGUCAGGCAGCAUUCUUACCAUCACCUUUACAGGUCUACUCUUACUUACUUGAAAAUAGUAAAAAAAAAACAAAAACCAAAAAACAAAUUUUUAACUUAUUUGCAGUUAACUUAUUUCAAGGUAAAAGUAGAUCAACAGCACUGCAGCUAUAAUGGAGUAAAAGCAAGAAUACGAAGGGAUAAAAAUUCACAGUUCUGUUAACAGCCUGGAUUUAUGAUCUGUGGUUUUAAAAUGAAUGCAAAUUUGUGACUAUUCUGCCUUUUCUCUAAUGGAUUAAAGAGCACGUAUUUGUAAAUGCAUCAAGAUGAAUUAAAAUAGGACAGGUUUUUUUUUUUUGUCUUAUUAAAUUAGAAUGCAAAACUCAUGUCUUUUGUCAUCAUAUAUUUUCUUUUUUCCUCAGUUAUUUGUAUUUUUUUAAAUAUUAUCUCCCAUUCCUUUUCAUUCUCCAUGUCAUCUAAUCAUUGGGCAUAUUACAAAAGACUGCUGUGGACUUGACCAAGCAAGAGGAAGCUGAAGGAGAGUGAAAUCUAGAAUGAGAAUAUCAUAUUCUUUCAUGUAUAUAGGCAGGUGCUCAUAGAUUGCAAAGAACUUUAUGGGGAAAAAAAAAAAGCUAGCUUUUUAGUCUGGAAGAUUGAAGCAAGAUAUAAAAUGGUGUUGACGCAGUAAACCAAACUUCUGACUUUCUAAGUUAUAAUACCUUGCCUACUGAAUCUUGCUGUAAGUAAAUGUAAGUAAGUAAAUGAAGGCUAAUAACUGUAUUUGCAUUACCACACUUGUGCAAUCAUCUGUUCUGUGAAUUCCAUUAAGUAACACUUCACACAGAACAAAGAGAAAAUCCUUCAGAUCUGUUUCUUUCAAGGAUCCAGUAUGGAGCUUGAACUCUUAGCAGUGGUACUGGUGGCAAAUCAUCUGUACCAACAUAUUUAUGUAAGUACGCCUAUCAGGAUGCUUUUUUCUUACUGACUGAAUGAUCAUGCUAGCAGAGCAAGCAUAAAUGUUAUAACUCACUUUUGCCAAUGUUCAUCAAGCUUGAAUAUAAAAUAAAGUGCAAACAAAGCAAAACUGAUUUUAUUUUAAAUGUGGGCAAACAUUUACAGAAACUAUUUUGCAUUAUUUUCCUACUCUGUUCAGCAUUCUCAGUUCCCAGUGGUAUGAUGAGAGUUUGAAAUGCAGAAUGUCUCCCAGAGGUGCUCAGCAAUUUGCAAGAACAGCCCCACAGCUAAUAUCUCUUUGGUUCAACGGCUUCAAAUAAAUUAAAAUAUUUCUUGUUCCUACUGGCACAGAUAGAGAUUAAUCCAUGAAUAGGAAGCAACCAUUUGAGCAACUAAUUAGGAGGGCCUGUCUUGAUGAGUUUUCUUGCUUUCAGGUGGACAAGUUCAUCAAUGCAUUGUUUUCAGGGUUAUUAUAAAUACCUACUAAUGAUUAAUAAGAAAGGGAGGUACAUGCUAAAUAAUCUCUUUAUAGAUUCAUCCUUUGUUGCUUUAUUUAUUUGUUUGUUUGCUUAUUUUUAAUAAAAACUGUAGUUAUUCUGUCUUUACUAUACAGGAUAUCAAGACUGUGAAGAGAACAGUUUCUGUUGACAUUGUGGUAUAUGUUCCAUGAUACUCACAUCCACAGAUUGUGCUGGUAGAUUGCAUAGCUGAUCAUAGGUAUUACAAGGAUAGGAUAUGGUUCAGCAGUAAAUAAAGCAUCAGUUUAACAACUGUUUCAGAAAUGUCAUGAAGACAAGACAGGGCAGUUAAAUACAGACAUGUAGGUAUAAUUUCUGAUAUUUAGCAAUGUGGAAAGGAUUACGGGCUAUGAUUAUAAAUAAUUAGGGGAUGUUCCAUAAAGCAUUAUGCCCUUUGGCUCGCAGCUAUCAGAAUGAAGGCAUCAAGUUGAUGCAAGUGCUACAGUAAUGCUAAGAAAAUAAACUAUAAACAUAUGCUGAGAAAUUUUCUGAUGUGUCAUAACAAUAUGUUUACUUAACCAGUCUAAUAUAUAUAUAUAUGUAUAUACACACACAUAAUGUUUUCUAGCAAAUGUUUGCAUUUUCUAGCCCUUCCCACAGCUCAUAUUGUCCUUCCCUCUUUCAUUCAUGGGGGGUUGGACUCGAUGAUCUCUGGAGGUCCCUUCCAACCCCUACAAUUCUGUGAUUCUGUGAUUUCAUAUUACACUGAAACUUAUUUGCUAAGAUAGGUCAAUAUGUGGCAAUUUUGGAAAUUUGCACAGUUUCUUUAGGAAAGUGUUAAAUUUUACAUGCAGCCAUGUCUCGGAUUAAUGUUUAUAGAAACACUUCCCGAAAUCCUUGUGGCUGAGCAGGUCCUUUUGGAUUUCUGUUGAAAAUGGAUGCAAAAUAUACUGUGAAUAGAGUGAGGUAAAUACUUUAGCCAACUACUCUGUCUGCUUAUUUUACUCACUGCAUGCACGUUGCAAUUCAGUGUCCUUGUGUUUGUUAUAAGAAUUUGCCUAAAAUAAUUUUCUCUUGUUUUAUUUGUUUGUCUACAUUUGGAUUUUGGUGAAAAUGAGGAUGUCAAUGCUCUGUAUGCAGUGUUCAUAAUUUAAGUGUUGGUUAGAUGGAGCAGAUGAAUUACGUAUUUUUUAAUUUCUCUGUUCAGAUGAGUUGACCAAUUUACAAACUUUGCUAUUAAUAUUUAUAUAAAUAAUUCAUUAACACAUAAAAUUGAUUACUUUUUUAGGACAAAGAUUGAGCUUUCUAAUUUCAGUCCAGCAAGAAUUAAACACUAUUUUCCUAUUUUAGAGGGGAACUGUAUCAUCAGUACUUUUCUCUUUGGUGCUAAUUCUCAAGUGCAAGGUGCAGAGAGGCCUGAAUGAUUAUCAUAAUAAUAUUUAUUUGCUAACUUUGUAAUAAAUUUCUCAAAGUAUCUUUUCCAAAGCCUAUUAACAGGGAUCUUCAUUUUGACCUACUCAAUAAUAAAUCCAGUUAUUAAAAUCACAAAAAAUGUUUGCCUGUUUAAUAAAGUGCUCUUAAGGUUAAUAACCUGCAAAUAUGACAACUCAUCAUUACUAUUACUGGUAUUUUUUUAUAUGUUUGUAGAGUUUCUUUCUUUCUUCCAUAGGAAGAAAUUUUGUUUACAGUAGGGAUACUUUCAUGGUCUUCUGUUCAGAAAUACAUUUUGUAUCUAUUUAAGGAUAAUAUUCUGAGUAUUGUGGUACAUGUGAACUUUGCUAGAAUAUCAUAUGAGGUAUAAAAAGAAGAUAUCUGCAGAAAAAUGGCUCCCAGAGGGAAGUGAAUAUAGCACAGCUUGAAAUGACUUGUUCUUUGUAAUGUCCUUAGCCACCAGCAAGGCAAAUGUCUUGUGAAAAAGACAAAUGCCUGACUUCACAGUAUAUGCAAGGAGGUAGAACAGGAGGGUUUACUGGAAAGGUGUGAAAACACAAAUGGGAAAUGGUUCUUUUCUCACAGCACUCUUAUUCACACAGAACUUCAGGGAGAAUACUUCUGACUCGUAUCUGGAUAAAUAAGAGUAAUGAUUUACGUUUUUCUUUAAACCUUCGACUUGAAGGUAGAAGGAUGGAUGGAAAGAAGGAAAGAAACACACUUCAGCUUUUGAUUAAAAUGGGUAAAUUCAUGGAAUUACGACAUCUGGAGAUGUAAAGACUGUAUCUGCUAUAUGCAGCAACAUAAGCUCUUUCCAUUGCAUGAUGAGUAUAGAAUGCAGAAAAGGAUUUGUAAAGCCUAAGUUUAUUUAACAUGUCUAUACUCUGGGGCAUUUGAAUUAUUAAGACUUUAGUUUAUUCUCCUUUAAAGACAACAUUGCCAGUUUAGGUAAUGCUCAACGGGUUUGUAUAAAGAAAAGGCAGAAAUAAAAUGUAUCAAAGUCUACCAUAGAGUUAGAAGGAAAGAAAAAUAAAACAUAGAUAAACACUGAGCAGACAAAAAAAAAUCAUAAAAAAUGAAAGAUGAGUGAAUAGAAAGGAGAAGACUGAACAAAAAGCUAAUUUUGGAGAGAAAAAGACUGUUUGAAUUUAAUGUAAAUUUAUGUAUCCAGCUGAAUAAUAUCACAUAUAUUAGACAUAGGAAGGAACUGUGGCAAAUGUCCAUUCACAAUGUAAACUUUCAGUAGUGCUUUGCAGUGUUUAUUCACUGAGUGAAUGGAGCAGACAUUUCCACUGCUCUUGGUGUUUUUUUUUCUCCUCCAUUUUCUGCAGAACUUCCUCUGUACAAAUUACAAAAUCUGACUCAUGCCAUAGGUAAGGGAAGUUGGCACUAAUGGCUUUAGAUGGAUGAAGGACAAAGAAAAUGAAUGCCUAUCCAAUUUCUCAUUAAGGUGACAGGGAAUCAAUAUUUGUCUAAUAUUUGAAUUAAAUAUUUGGGAAUUAGAUAAUCUCAGACCUAUUUCUUUUUAAUUGUAUUUAGGUUCUCUGUACUCCAGAUCUCGUGAAAAUCAGCUCUCUUGUGGAGUGCCAAAAAGAGUCUUAGUUUUCACUCUGCUCAAGUGUGGCUGAAGAUUAUACUGGAAGCACGUCUGUUUAGCAGCUAUAUGAUUUGGCAGUGUUCCUUCUGGGAGCAUUAACAUGGACUUCAGUGAGUGCAUGGUUGGGAUCUGUAUAUAUCUUUCACUUGAAUAAACGACAGAGGAUGGUCUCUGGAUUCAGGUUAUGUUCAACUAGAGAUGAUGGCUUCUUCCAUUUGUAAUUUGUAACCUGACAAUCCAGAUUCACUUCACUCAUCAGCUAAAUCAUGUUUCAGAAGACUCUCACGAUUUCUGGUAAGCUGGAGUUAGAUGGAGUUAAAAACAAAAUAGUAAAUUUGAAAAAUCUGUUCCUUACUGAAGCAAUUCAGUUUCAUUUGCAGCAUCUGGAAAGAAAAUCAAAACCUUCUUGGGAAGAAUUAACACAGCAAUAAUGAGAGCAAUGGUAAAGCAUAAUGCAUAAUAAGGCAUGUUUUGUCUUGUGUCACUGAGCAUUAUCUUCACUUCAAAGAUAAUGUAUAAGUAUCAGUAUCUUUUUCCACAUAUCACUAACCCUUAAAAAGUAUGCAUGCAACUUUAUAUUUUCCCUGACCAUCUGGAUGUUGAAAUCCCUAGUAACAGUGAGAAUGAAAUCUGAGCCAAGAUAAGAUUCCAUCUAAAAUCUGAUGAGGCCAAAACUUAAAAGUUGCCUCCUAAGGGUUGCCACUGGUCAGAUGUGUUGUCAACACUGUGCUGUAGCACUCAAUAUUAAUGCCUGAUUCUUAUUCAUUAGUAUCCAGCAGCUUAAGGACAUUCUGAUUCGAUUGGUGCUGGUGUUCCAUGUAUGACCAAGAUGCCAGAUUUUUGGGCAGCAUUUUGAGUUGUUUUUUUUUUAAAUUUAAUAUUAAAAACAAAACCAAAAACAAAAACAACACAAGAAUAAAUAAUUUCUUUAAGUGUUUGUGCUACUUUCCUAGUUUUAUUUAGACAAUCCCAGGUGCUGUGAAUCCAUUCUUACUGUUACUGAUAAUUUGAACAUCCAAAUUCCUGUGUCAUACAACUUCAUAUCUGUGCCUUUCUUCUUCCUCAAGAAAUCACAGCUGAAAUUGAUAUCAAGACCUGGCCUAAUACCCUUAAGUCAGUUAGAUGAAUUCAGACAAGCUGUCCAAUCUUCAGAGGAAUCCUACAAACAAAAUGUAGUGGUGGAUGUCAGAUAGAAGCAAACAAAAGUCUGUGGCUUAGGAAUAGUUCCUUUCAUUCAUGAGUCUACAGACAGUUAAAAAAAAUAGUAAAAGCAAACGCUGUUGCCAACACUUCCCAGCUGAAGAAUAUAAAGUCUAAAUGUACUCACUGUUACACCACAGGAAAGGAGAAC